UCCGACCGGGUUGGACUUGGACGUUGCCGGCGACGGCUCGUCUUAAAAGAGUUAGCGGACAAAGUGACCGAAAACGACGUGAUAAGUACUCGUCGCUAUUAGGACCUCUGAGCCCGCUCACAACCGCCCUUGGGCACCUUUUGACUCUGACCUCAAAUCAGGUAGGACUACCCGCUGAACUUAAGCAUAUCAAUAAGCGGAGGAAAAGAAACUAACAAGGAUUCCCCUAGUAGCGGCGAGCGAAGCGGGAAGAGCUCAAAUUUGUAAUCUGGCGCAAGCCCGAGUUGUAAUCUAUAGAAACGUUUUCCGUGCCGGACCGCGUCCAAGUCCCUUGGAACAGGGUAUCAAAGAGGGUGACAAUCCCGUGCUUGAUGCGACACCCGGGCUUUGUGAUACGUUUUCUACGAGUCGAGUUGUUUGGGAAUGCAGCUCAAAAUGGGUGGUAAAUUCCAUCUAAGGCUAAAUAUUGGCGAGAGACCGAUAGCGAACAAGUACCGUGAGGGAAAGAUGAAAAGCACUUUGGAAAGAGAGUUAAACAGUAUGUGAAAUUGUUGAAAGGGAAACGAUUGAAGUCAGUCGUGGCCGUAGGAUUCAGCCGGCUCUGCCGGUGUAUUUCCUGCGGCCGGGUCAACAUCAGUUCUGAUCGGUGGAUAAUGGCUGGAGGAAUGUGGCACCUCCGGGUGUGUUAUAGCCUCCUGUCGCAUACAUCGGUUGGGACUGAGGAAUGCAGCUCGCCUUUAUGGCCGGGGUUCGCCCACGUCGA
rnacentral:rRNA from 1 species